UUUAAAGCUUAAAAACAAGUUGUAGUUUAUAGGAAUUUCUCAGUUAAUGAAGAAGGUGGCAGAAACUAUCAUAACCUUCCAUCACCGCAACAGACAAUGGAAAAGUCAGCCAUCAGCAGAACGCAUGAAAAAGCAACAGACGCGGCAAACUUCCGACUAAAUGUAGCGUAAAUAUAGAGCACGGAGUUAUAGACAGCAAAGGAUACAAAAAAAAGAUAGAUAGAUAUAGUUUGCGUGUCACAUGCAAGGCACAAAGUGGGGUAGUGAAGGGAUCUGUCGCUGGCUGGUUGGAGCGCAGAAAUAUAAUAUCAAGGAGCAUGAAGGUCUGAACAGAACCAUUAAAGUGCACUGAAUUGGAAUAUAUAUACAUAUAUGUAUAGCUGGAGAUGGAGAUUUGUGGGUGCGAAUAGAGGUGUCUAUCCCCGGCCAAAUGUGGCUGAACCUUCCAAACAGCAGAAGCAGCAUCGAGCCCUCCUCGUCUGUGGGAAAUCUAUGACUUUGCUGUGUCGUCAGUUUGUUUGCCGCCAUUUUCACUAGCCCAUAUGCCACCACGUCGUCCAUUGCCGCCGUGGAAAGCAUUUCCCAUCUACGUACGAGCCACGGACCGUUGAGCACCGAAAUGAAGUCACUUGACAACUCCAACUGAUGUUGAUUGCACGGCGGCGCGCUGUGCAUUAAUUAUUUAGAAUAUGGCGACGCUGGAAAAACACAUCGACUCGAAAAGUAUGCAAUUAGUUUUUGGCGUGAUUGUUGCCAAGCGUGGCACAAAUGUUUCCUGAUUGCCCCGUUUUGAUUGCGAUUGUGUGUCGCGCAAUUGUAAAUUGGGUUAAUGAUUGUGUAUAAAGUGUAAACCCUUUCAAUUGGCCAUCUAAAGAACAAUCCAUAUGCGCUUUCCCCUUGGAUUAUUUCCCUACUUAGAACGUUGAACUAACUUUAAUAGCUAGUCAAAUAACUUUAAGAACCCAUGCACUCUAUCAAUUACAUUCCCCUCGCUUAUCCUGCAGCUUGUCCACUCAAAGGCUUCGACAACUAACCCAAAACUGUCAACAUUUUAUCAACUCCGAUGUCUUCGCCCACUGUGUGUGUGUGUGUGUGUGGUUUUCCCCGCCCUCGUCUACAUAUGAAAUUCAAUGAAAAACUUUUCAACACACACUCACUUAGCGGACAAAGCCAUUUCCCAUUUUCCCCAUAUCCCUGCAAAAAUGAAUAAAGUGUCUGCAUGCGGUUUUCUUUUCA